rnacentral:rRNA from 1 species
UACGGAGGGGGCAAGCGUUGUCCGGAAUCAUUGGGCGUAAAGCGCGCGUAGGCGGCCCGAUAAGUCUGCUGUGAAAGUCCAGGGCUCAACCCUGGAAUGCCGGUGGAUACUGUCGGGCUAGAGUUCGGAAGAGGCAAGUGGAAUUCCUGGUGUAGCGGUGGAAUGCGCAGAUAUCAGGAGGAACACCUAUGGCGAAGGCAGCUCUCUGGGACGGUACUGACGCUGAGACGCGAAAGCGUGGGGAGCGAACAGG